UACAGAGGGUGCGAGCGUUAAUCGGAAUUACUGGGCGUAAAGCGCACGUAGGCGGAUUUGUAAGUCAGGGGUGAAAUCCCGGGGCUCAACCUCGGAACUGCCUUUGAUACUGCGAAUCUCGAGUCCGGAAGAGGUGAGUGGAAUUCCUAGUGUAGCGGUGAAAUGCGCAGAUAUCAGGAGGAACACCGGUGGCGAAGGCGGGUCUCUGGGCCGUAACUGACGCUAAGGAGCGAAAGCGUGGGGAGCGAACAGG
rnacentral:rRNA from 1 species